CCCAGCGGCCCUAGGGUGACAGUGUUUGCCAGAAGCCCAGCAGCAUGGACCGUGCUCUGCUCUGGGUGCUUCUGCCGCUGGUCACCGUGGCCUGGGGCCAGUACGGAGACUACGGGUAUCCUUACCAGCAGUACCACGACUACAGUGAUGACGGGUGGGUGAAUCUGAACCGGCAGGGCUUCAGCUACCAGUGUCCCCAUGGGCAGGUGGUGGUGGCCGUGAGGAGCAUCUUCAACAAGAAUGAAGGCUCGGACAGACAGUGGAAUUACGCUUGCAUGCCCACGCCACAGAACCUCGGGGAGCCCACGGAGUGCUGGUGGGAGGAAAUCAACAGAGCUGGAAUGGAGUGGUACCAGACGUGCUCCAACAACGGGCUGGUGGCAGGGUUCCAGAGCCGCUACUUUGAGUCCGUGCUGGAUCGGGAAUGGCAGUUUUACUGCUGUCGGUACGGCAAGAGAUGUCCGUAUUCCUGCUGGCUGACCACAGAAUAUCCAGGUCACUAUGGGGAAGAAAUGGACAUGAUUUCCUACAAUUACGACUACUAUAUGCGAGGAGCAACCACCACUUUCUCUGCAGUGGAAAGAUCCACAGCAUGUGUUCCUUCAGCUCUGCUGAAAGAUGCUAAGGCCACAGCGUCGGAGAAAUAGCAUCAGUGCAGGACCUACUGGGCAGGGACUUUCCUUCCAUAUGCAAAUCAGAGUGGGUUCCUCCUGGAACGGAGUUGCUCAGCCUGAGCACUAUUGACAUCCGGGACAGGGAUCGCCAGUGGAAGUUCAUAAUGUGCCGGAUGACUGACUAUGACUGUGAAUUUGCAAAUGUUUAGAUCUGCCACUCACCAAAUCUAGGUGAGGGGAAGGGGGCCAGGAGACCUGAGGAUGUCCACAGAGGUCAACAUCAGCUGGAGCUCCGAUGUGGUUUCUGCUGCUCUUUUCUUCUCCCUGAGGGGGUUAGUGGCUGCAGCACCAGCUUUCUGGGCCUUUCUGACUAGUAUCACACUUACAAUAAAAUCCACAAUGAAAUCGUGUUCUCACUUUCAACAUGUUCCAUAGCAACCGUUUUAUAUGACUGACGAUGGCUUUCUUGCACCCCGCAUAGACAGUGUGCAUGCUCACAGCCAGAAAAAAAGCCUGGUUCCCAGAGCACCUGUCACAGCUUUUGCUACCAAGUGAGCUACAGGCAAGGCUGGGGCUGAGCAGUAUCUGUGAAGAGGUUCAGUGUAGUGGAGUGAACGGCAGAAAUUGAAGAAAGUGGCAAUCAAUGAAGGUUCUUUGCAGGUCACUGUGUUUGAAUGAAACCAAGGGUCCUCACCAAGCCUUGAAGGGACAUGUGCCCACUCUCCCCCACCACAUCAGCCAUGCUUGUCUGGAAGUCCAAAGUGCAGAGUUCUGUGCUCCAGGAGGGAGGGGACAGGGAGGUAAAAUGGAGGGAUAAAAGGGUCUGGGCAGAGCUGAAAGCCUUAGCAUUGGAAGAGUUUCCUGAGUUGAAGGAAGAUUGUGGGCAUACCCAGUAAUGACAACAAUGCAGAACUCAGAGAAACCUAUGCAAAUCUGGCUCAAGUCAGACAGGAACAAGGAGGAAGACAGAGAGCAUGGGACUUGUGUUAGGAACUUAGAGGGAAAGAAAGAGUGGCCAGAUUGCUUUGGGAAUAGAAAGGGCGGUUUGAGUCACUGGCACCUGGAGAUGUGUCCAGGACUCCCAGGAAGGCUAGCAUAUGCCUGCAGCCAUGGGACUUACUGGCAAACUCACCUGAGAAAGGCUGCCCUGAGACUCCACUUCCCUUCUAUGCAUAGUUUAGGGGUGUUUUUUGCAGAGGUAACACUAUCUUUCCUCCUUCUGUGAUGUCUCUGUCCCCAGCCCUUUGUACUCUCUUCAUCAUAAAAGGAAUAAAAAUGUUAACAUUCACUAUG